GGAAUUGAAGACAUUGACCGAGGCAUUGAUCGAGAAGUGAUUGAAAUGGGUAUCCAGAAUUAGCCAAGUAGUGUUGCAAGUUGAAGUAGGGCGGAGAUUUGUUAUAGAUAAAAGCUUGUCAGAAGCUGACAGAAUGGAAUGAUAUGGCGGUAUAUAGUAUUAUUAUAAAUCUGAGCUAGACACCGGAGUUAAGGCAAGUACUUCUACCUUUCUCUCGCAAUUUGGAAGCAAGUAUUUCUACCCUACUCCUCUAGUACCUAUAGAUACUAAAACCUUCUUUAUAUCAUGAUUCAAAUUAUUUGCAAUUACUUUCCUGUGAAGCAUAUCUAGUACUUUUAAAUCUUUUGGUUGAACGGAUAACACUUUUGGUAUCGACUCUACACUAUGAUAUGCAUAAAGAAAUUGUUUUAACAAAAUGUUAUUCUGGCUCUUGAAUUACAUGAUGGAACUGCAGAUUGUUUUAAAAAUUAAACUAUUGGGUUGUUUUUGCGUAAGAGGCUCGGGCACCGGCCCAGCGUGAAAGGUGGCUCCUUAAGCCCGGAUUACCGGAAUUCGUAAUAUUUGUCAACCUUGCUGAAUAAGCUUGGUUUAUGGACUAUAGCAUGACUGAUCAUCUGUUAUAGCCAGGUGUCCAAUUAUUUUUAAAGCCCAAUAAAAUUGUGAAUAGUUUAAAAAGAAGUUACCCUGCCUUCAAGAGAUAUUUGCUUAUACAUUCAUUUCUGCAGUUUUAAAUAUUUUCACUUCUUUAUUAUGGCAUUGCUGUACAACAAAUAUCAAUUUCAUUUUAUUAUUCUUGCUGAGCAUUAUUGCUCAUUCUUGCUAUUCCUUCUAACCCUUUUCAGCUAGGAAUAAAGAUGAUUCACUUAAGACUAGGCAAGGAUUGCAAGUGGUUGAGUUUCAAGCAGAUGGACAGGUAGAGUAUUCAGGAUGAUGUCAUUAAGACUAGAUGCAGUUGGAGUUCUGCAAUUCAAUUUAGUUGGAAAUUAGAUUUGUUUAUUUGGUUAUCAGCUACUCUUCUUAUCGAGGUCUAGCUGAUAAUGUAGUUUAAUUUGUAAAUAAGAUUUUAUAGUUUUAGUUUCUG
rnacentral:lncRNA from 1 species